AUGUCCUGGACCCCGCUCCUCCUGGGCCUCCUGGCUCACUGCACAGGUUCUGUAUCUUCCAAUGGGGUGAAUCAGCCACCCUCAUUUUCUGUGAACCCAGGAGGGGAGGCCAAGAUGACCUGUAGUGGAAACAACAUUGGAAGCUAUGCUGUUCACUGGUACCAGCAAAAGUCAAGCCAGGCCCCUGUGCUGGUCAUCUACUAUAAUAACAACCGGCCCUCAGGGAUCCCUGACCGCUUCUCUGGAUCCAAGUCAGGGGACAUGGCCACCCUGACCAUUACGGGUGUGCGCACUGAGGAUGAGGCCGACUAUUACUGUACAGUAGAGGGUGGCAGUGGGGGCAGCUAUCAGUGA